GCAAACUUGGUCAUUUAGAGGAAGUACAAGUCGUAACAAGGUUUCCGUAGGUGAACCUGCGGAAGGAUCAUUAACAAAUCGUAUUUUGUAUUGAUGUAUAUCAUUGGUACAAAAACAUGUGUGCGCCAGCAUACGUGCUGGAAUGCAAUAUUCAUGUGUAAAUUCAUGUGUGUAGAGUGUAACUUAAAUAUCUAAACAUACUUUUAACAAUGGAUCUCUUGGCUCUUGCAUCGAUGAAGAACGCAGC
rnacentral:misc_RNA from 1 species